UUAAAUUGAAGAGUUUGAUCAUGGCUCAGAUUGAACGCUGGCGGCAGGCCUAACACAUGCAAGUCGAACGGUAACAGGAAGCAGCUUGCUGCUUCGCUGACGAGUGGCGGACGGGUGAGUAAUGUCUGGGAAGCUGCCUGAUGGAGGGGGAUAACUACUGGAAACGGUGGCUAAUACCGCAUAACGUCGCAAGACCAAAGAGGGGGACCUUCGGGCCUCUUGCCAUCAGAUGUGCCCAGAUGGGAUUAGCUAGUUGGUGAGGUAACGGCUCACCAAGGCGACGAUCCCUAGCUGGUCUGAGAGGAUGACCAGCCACACUGGAACUGAGACACGGUCCAGACUCCUACGGGAGGCAGCAGUGGGGAAUAUUGCACAAUGGGCGCAAGCCUGAUGCAGCCAUGCCGCGUGUAUGAAGAAGGCCUUAGGGUUGUAAAGUACUUUCAGCGGGGAGGAAGGUGUUGUGGUUAAUAACCGCAGCAAUUGACGUUACCCGCAGAAGAAGCACCGGCUAACUCCGUGCCAGCAGCCGCGGUAAUACGGAGGGUGCAAGCGUUAAUCGGAAUUACUGGGCGUAAAGCGCACGCAGGCGGUCUGUCAAGUCGGAUGUGAAAUCCCCGGGCUCAACCUGGGAACUGCAUUCGAAACUGGCAGGCUUGAGUCUUGUAGAGGGGGGUAGAAUUCCAGGUGUAGCGGUGAAAUGCGUAGAGAUCUGGAGGAAUACCGGUGGCGAAGGCGGCCCCCUGGACAAAGACUGACGCUCAGGUGCGAAAGCGUGGGGAGCAAACAGGAUUAGAUACCCUGGUAGUCCACGCCGUAAACGAUGUCUACUUGGAGGUUGUGCCCUUGAGGCGUGGCUUCCGGAGCUAACGCGUUAAGUAGACCGCCUGGGGAGUACGGCCGCAAGGUUAAAACUCAAAUGAAUUGACGGGGGCCCGCACAAGCGGUGGAGCAUGUGGUUUAAUUCGAUGCAACGCGAAGAACCUUACCUGGUCUUGACAUCCACAGAAGAAUCCAGAGAUGGAUUUGUGCCUUCGGGAACUGUGAGACAGGUGCUGCAUGGCUGUCGUCAGCUCGUGUUGUGAAAUGUUGGGUUAAGUCCCGCAACGAGCGCAACCCUUAUCCUUUGUUGCCAGCGGUCCGGCCGGGAACUCAAAGGAGACUGCCAGUGAUAAACUGGAGGAAGGUGGGGAUGACGUCAAGUCAUCAUGGCCCUUACGACCAGGGCUACACACGUGCUACAAUGGCGCAUACAAAGAGAAGCGACCUCGCGAGAGCAAGCGGACCUCAUAAAGUGCGUCGUAGUCCGGAUUGGAGUCUGCAACUCGACUCCAUGAAGUCGGAAUCGCUAGUAAUCGUGGAUCAGAAUGCCACGGUGAAUACGUUCCCGGGCCUUGUACACACCGCCCGUCACACCAUGGGAGUGGGUUGCAAAAGAAGUAGGUAGCUUAACCUUCGGGAGGGCGCUUACCACUUUGUGAUUCAUGACUGGGGUGAAGUCGUAACAAGGUAACCGUAGGGGAACCUGCGGUUGGAUCACCUCCUUACCUUAAAGAA
rnacentral:rRNA from 1 species